rnacentral:miRNA from 1 species
UGUUUCGCUCGCUACUCUGGUUUAAAUAAAUGAUUACAAAGCCCAGUCGAAUUGUAAUCAAGACCCAACGUUUCGUUGGGUCUUGAUUACUAUUCGACUAGGCUUUGUAAUCAUUUAUUUAAACCAGAGUAGCGAGCGAAACA